UCGAACGGAACUGUUUUGAAAGAUUUCUUCGGAAUGAAUUUGAUUUAGUUCAGUGGCGGACGGGUGAGUAACGCGUGAGUAACCUGCCUUCAAGAGGGGGAUAACAUUCUGAAAAGAAUGCUAAUACCGCAUGACAUAUCGGAAUCACAUGGUUUUGAUAUCAAAGAUUUUAUCGCUUGAAGAUGGACUCGCGUCCGAUUAGUUAGUUGGUGAGGUAACGGCUCACCAAGACCGCGAUCGGUAGCCGGACUGAGAGGUUGAACGGCCACAUUGGGACUGAGACACGGCCCAGACUCCUACGGGAGGCAGCAGUGGGGGAUAUUGCGCAAUGGGGGCAACCCUGACGCAGCAACGCCGCGUGAAGGAUGAAGGUUUUCGGAUUGUAAACUUCUUUUAUUAAGGACGAAAAAUGACGGUACUUAAUGAAUAAGCUCCGGCUAACUACGUGCCAGCAGCCGCGGUAAUACGUAGGGAGCAAGCGUUGUCCGGAUUUACUGGGUGUAAAGGGUGCGUAGGCGGCUUUGCAAGUCAGAUGUGAAAUCUAUGGGCUCAACCCAUAAACUGCAUUUGAAACUGUAGAGCUUGAGUGAAGUAGAGGCAGGCGGAAUUCCCCGUGUAGCGGUGAAAUGCGUAGAGAUGGGGAGGAACACCAGUGGCGAAGGCGGCCUGCUGGGCUUUAACUGACGCUGAGGCACGAAAG
rnacentral:rRNA from 1 species